CGGGAUGUGGCGCAGCUUGGUCAGCGCGCUCGCUUCGGAUGCGAGAGGCCGCCGGUUCGAAUCCGGCCAUCCCGA
rnacentral:tRNA from 1 species